rnacentral:rRNA from 1 species
GAUAGAUUGGUGCCUUCGGGAACGCAGUGACAGGUGCUGCAUGGCUGUCGUCAGCUCGUGUCGUGAGAUGUUGGGUUAAGUCCCGUAACGAGCGCAACCCUUGUCCUUAUUUGCCAUCAUUUAGUUGGGCACUCUAGGGAGACUGCCGGUGACAAACCGGAGAAAGGUGGGGACGACGUCAAGUCAUCAUGGCCCUUACGACCAGGGCUACACACGUGCUACAAUGGAGCGUACAAAGGGUUGCAACCCCGCGAGGGUGAGCUAAUCCCAUAAAACGUUUCGUAGUCCGGAUCGCAGUCUGCAACUCGACUGCGUGAAGUCGGAAUCGCUAGUAAUCGUAGAUCAGAAUGCUACGGUGAAUACGUUCCCGGGCCUUGUACACACCGCCCGUCACACCAUGGGAGUGGGUUGCAAAAGAAGUGGGUAGCAUAACCUUCGGGAGUGCGCUCACCACUUUGUGAUUCAUGACUGGGG